CACGUAGGGGGCAAGCGUUGUCCGGAUUUAUUGGGCGUAAAGAGCUCGUAGGCGGCUAAGUAAGUCGGGUGUCAAAUCCCCAGGCUCAACCUGGGUUCCCACCCGAUACUGCUUUGGCUAGAGUCCGGUAGGGGAGCGUGGAAUUCCUGGUGUAGCGGUGAAAUGCGCAGAUAUCAGGAGGAACACCAGCGGCGAAGGCGGCGCUCUGGGCCGGAACUGACGCUGAGGAGCGAAAGCGUGGGUAGCAAACAGG
rnacentral:rRNA from 1 species